rnacentral:rRNA from 1 species
GAUGAACGCUGGCGGCGUGCCUAAUACAUGCAAGUCGAGCGAACGGACGAGAAGCUUGCUUCUCUGAUGUUAGCGGCGGACGGGUGAGUAACACGUGGAUAACCUACCUAUAAGACUGGGAUAACUUCGGGAAACCGGAGCUAAUACCGGAUAAUAUUUUGAACCGCAUGGUUCAAAAGUGAAAGACGGUCUUGCUGUCACUUAUAGAUGGAUCCGCGCUGCAUUAGCUAGUUGGUAAGGUAACGGCUUACCAAGGCAACGAUGCAUAGCCGACCUGAGAGGGUGAUCGGCCACACUGGAACUGAGACACGGUCCAGACUCCUACGGGAGGCUGCAGUAGGGAAUCUUCCGCAAUGGGCGAAAGCCUGACGGAGCAACGCCGCGUGAGUGAUGAAGGUCUUCGGAUCGUAAAACUCUGUUAUUAGGGAAGAACAUAUGUGUAAGUAACUGUGCACAUCUUGACGGUACCUAAUCAGAAAGCCACGGCUAACUACGUGCCAGCAGCCGCGGUAAUACGUAGGUGGCAAGCGUUAUCCGGAAUUAUUGGGCGUAAAGCGCGCGUAGGCGGUUUUUUAAGUCUGAUGUGAAAGCCCACGGCUCAACCGUGGAGGGUCAUUGGAAACUGGAAAAACUUGAGUGCAGAAGAGGAAAGUGGAAUUCCAUGUGUAGCGGUGAAAUGCGCAGAGAUAUGGAGGAACACCAGUGGCGAAGGCGACUUUCUGGUCUGUAACUGACGCUGAUGUGCGAAAGCGUGGGGAUCAAACAGGAUUAGAUACCCUGGUAGUCCACGCCGUAAACGAUGAGUGCUAAGUGUUAGGGGGUUUCCGCCCCUUAGUGCUGCAGCUAACGCAUUAAGCACUCCGCCUGGGGAGUACGACCGCAAGGUUGAAACUCAAAGGAAUUGACGGGGACCCGCACAAGCGGUGGAGCAUGUGGUUUAAUUCGAAGCAACGCGAAGAACCUUACCAAAUCUUGACAUCCUUUGACAACUCUAGAGAUAGAGCUUUCCCCUUCGGGGGACAAAGUGGCAGGUGGUGCAUGGUUGUCGUCAGCUCGUGUCGUGAGAUGUUGGGUUAAGUCCCGCAACGAGCGCAACCCUUAAGCUUAGUUGCCAUCAUUAAGUUGGGCACUCUAAGUUGACUGCCGGUGACAAACCGGAGGAAGGUGGGGAUGACGUCAAAUCAUCAUGCCCCUUAUGAUUUGGGCUACACACGUGCUACAAUGGACAAUACAAAGGGCAGCGAGACCGCGAGGUCAAGCAAAUCCCAUAAAGUUGUUCUCAGUUCGGAUUGUAGUCUGCAACUCGACUACAUGAAGCUGGAAUCGCUAGUAAUCGUAGAUCAGCAUGCUACGGUGAAUACGUUCCCGGGUCU